UACGAAGGGGACUAGCGUUGUUCGGAAUCACUGGGCGUAAAGCGCACGUAGGCGGAUUCGUAAGUCAGGGGUGAAAUCCCGGGGCUCAACCUCGGAACUGCCUUUGAUACUGCGGGUCUUGAGUCCGAUAGAGGUGGGUGGAAUUCCUAGUGUAGAGGUGAAAUUCGUAGAUAUUAGGAAGAACACCGGUGGCGAAGGCGGCCCACUGGAUCGGUACUGACGCUGAGGUGCGAAAGCAUGGGGAGCGAACAGG
rnacentral:rRNA from 1 species